rnacentral:rRNA from 1 species
AAACUUUCAACAAUGGAUCUCUUGGUUCCGGCAUCGAUGAAGAACGCAGCGAACUGCGAUAAGUAAUGUGAAUUGCAGAAUUCAGUGAAUCAUCGAGUCUUUGAACGCACAUUGCGCCCCCUGGCAUUCCGGGGGCAUGCCUGUCCGAGCGUCAUU